rnacentral:rRNA from 1 species
CCUACGGGUGGCAGCAGUGAGGAAUAUUGGUCAAUGGGCGAGAGCCUGAACCAGCCAAGCCGCGUGAAGGAUGAAGGAUCUAUGGUCUGUAAACUUCUUUUAUAUGGGAAUAAAGGCAGGAACGUGUCCCUUCUUGUAUGUACCAUAUGAAUAAGCAUCGGCUAACUCCGUGCCAGCAGCCGCGGUAAUACGGAGGAUGCGAGCGUUAUCCGGAUUUGUUGGGUUUAAAGGGUGCGUAGGUGGUUAAUUAAGUCAGCGGUGAAAGUUUGUGGCUCAACCACAGUAUUGCCGUUGAAACUGGGUGACUUGAGUAUAGUAGAGGUAAGCGGAAUGCGUGGUGUAGCGGUGAAAUGCAUAGAUAUCACGCAGAACUCCGAUUGCGAAGGCAGCUUACUGGACUAUAACUGACGCUGAGGCACGAAAGCGUGGGGAUCAAACAGGAUUAGAUACCCCAGUAGUC